GAUGAAGAACGCAGCGAAAUGCGAUACGUAAUGUGAAUUGCAGAAUUCAGUGAAUCAUCGAAUCUUUGAACGCAUAUUGCGCUCUCUGGUAUUCCGGAGAGCAUGCUUGUUUGAGUAUCAGUAAACACCUCAACUUCCAUAUCUUUUUUGAAAUGGGAGUUGGACUUGAGUGAUCCCAACGCUUUUCCUCACCGAAAAGCGGCGGGUUACUUGAAAUGCAGGUGCAGCUGGACUUUUCUCUGAGCUAUAAGCAUAUCUAUUUAGUCUGCCUAAAAAACAGAUUAUUACCUUUGCUGCAGCUAACAUAAAGGAGAUUAGUUCUUGUGCUGACUGAUGCAGGAUUCACAAAGACAGGCUUCGGCCGACUUUGUAAACUCGAUCUCAAAUCAAGUAAGACUACCCGCUGAACUUAAGCAUAUCAAUAGCGGAGG
rnacentral:misc_RNA from 1 species